AAGUAAGAAGCAAAAAAUUGCAUUUAGUUUCGACCUAACGUUUGAUGGUAAACAUCCUUACUUA
rnacentral:tRNA from 1 species